UACGUAGGGGGCGAGCGUUGUCCGGAAUUAUUGGGCGUAAAGAGCUCGUAGGCGGUUCGGCAAGUCACGUGUGAAAUCUCCACGCUCAACGUGGAGGCGUCACGUGAGACUGCUGUGACUCGAGUCCGGUAGGGGAGCGUGGAAUUCCCGGUGUAGCGGUGAAAUGCGCAGAGAUCGGGAGGAACACCCGUAGCGAAGGCGGCGCUCUGGGCCGGUACUGACGCUGAGGAGCGAAAGCGUGGGGAGCAAACAGG
rnacentral:rRNA from 1 species